rnacentral:rRNA from 1 species
GUCUACGGCCAUGCUACCCUGAACGAGACUGAUCCUGUUUGAUCUUGAAAGCUAUGCAAGGUCAGGCCUGGUUAGUACUUGGAUGGGAGACCACUUAGGUAGACCAGAUGCUGUAGGCA